rnacentral:rRNA from 1 species
GAUGAACGCUAGCGGCAGGCCUAAUACAUGCAAGUCGAACGGGAUCCAGAUCAAAGCUUGCUUUGGUCUGGUGAGAGUGGCGCACGGGUGCGUAACGCGUGAGCAACCUACCCUUGUCAGGGGGAUAGCCCGGCGAAAGUCGGAUUAAUACCGCAUGACAUCAUUGAGAGGCAUCUUUCGAUGAUCAAAGAUUUAUCGGACAAGGAUGGGCUCGCGUGACAUUAGCUAGUUGGUAAGGUAACGGCUUACCAAGGCUGCGAUGUCUAGGGGCUCUGAGAGGAGAAUCCCCCACACUGGUACUGGGACACGGACCAGACUCCUACGGGAGGCAGCAGUAAGGAAUAUUGGUCAAUGGACGGAAGUCUGAACCAGCCAUGCCGCGUGCAGGAGGACGGCCCUAUGGGUUGUAAACUGCUUUUAUACGGGAACAAACGUCGGUACGUGUACCGGUCUGAGUGUACCGUAAGAAUAAGAAUCGGCUAACUCCGUG